rnacentral:rRNA from 1 species
AUUGAACGCUGGCGGCAUGCCUUACACAUGCAAGUCGAACGGCAGCACGGGGCAACCUGGUGGCGAGUGGCGAACGGGUGAGUAAUGCAUCGGAACGUACCUUUCAGUGGGGGAUAACGUAGCGAAAGUUACGCUAAUACCGCAUAUUCUGUGAGCAGGAAAGCAGGGGAUCGCAAGACCUUGCGCUGAUUGAGCGGCCGAUGUCAGAUUAGCUAGUUGGUGAGGUAAAGGCUCACCAAGGCGACGAUCUGUAGCGGGUCUGAGAGGAUGAUCCGCCACACUGGAACUGAGACACGGUCCAGACUCCUACGGGAGGCAGCAGUGGGGAAUUUUGGACAAUGGGGGCAACCCUGAUCCAGCCAUGCCGCGUGAGUGAAGAAGGCCUUCGGGUUGUAAAGCUCUUUCGGCCGGGAAGAAAUCGCACGGGCUAAUACCCUGUGUGGAUGACGGUACCGGAAUAAGAAGCACCGGCUAACUACGUGCCAGCCGCCGCAGUAA